rnacentral:rRNA from 1 species
GUGUCAGCAGCCGCGGUAAUACGUAGGGUGCAAGCGUUAAUCGGAAUUACUGGGCGUAAAGCGUGCGCAGGCGGUUUGCUAAGACCGAUGUGAAAUCCCGCGGCUCAACCUGGGAACUGCAUUGGUGGCUGGCAGGCUAGACUAUGGCAGAGGGGGGUAGAAUUGCACGUGUAGCAGUGAAAUGCGUAGAGAUGUGGAGGAAUACCGAUGGCGAAGGCAGCCCCCUGGGCCAAUACUGACGCUCAUGCACGAAAGCGUGGGGAGCAAACAGG